UGUUAAAUAUAUAAUACUUUAAUUUUGUUUAACGAUUCUACACAGUUUAUUUGUUGUUUUUCUUUUCAUUUAUAUGUCUGCCUCAUUGAAUGCACCCUAUUUAUCCAUAGCACAAAUUAACGGUAUCGAGCAUCUAUGGUUGUUUCUUUAGACAUUUUAUGGUUUAUAUCAUAGACCAGCAAUUAUAGGUAUAAAUUGCAAUGUGACGCUUCGUUGUCAUUUAUCUAUGGUCACCGUUGUAAUAUGAUUUCAAUGAUUUUCAUCUAAUCUAUGAUUUUCAUCAGUUGCAUAUGGCCGAAUGGUAGAUUCGUCUUUGGAAGUUAGAAGAACUCCAGAUGCCAUUAAAUUGUGGAGCAUUGAUUGUGUCGGUUCUCACUGACUCCAAAAAGUGACUGUUCCUCUGGUCAUAAAGAAAGCAUGAAAGUGCCUUUUUCCAUUGGGAACAGAGACAAUGUGCUGAAGAAGUGUGUUGCUGAGGGAGGGAUUUAUGACAAUAAACUGAUUGUCCCACAAAUGAGAGGCAAUUGCAGUUAAUUUUGAUACUACUGAAGCAACCGAUGUUUUUGACGUCUUCACCUUGCAAAAUUAUGCAGUUAAUUUUUGCCGUAACAAUGGGAGGCAAUUGGAAAUUAAUUAAUUU